AGCGAAACUCUGUCUCAAAAAAAAAAAAAAACGAAAAUUCCUGUAUGUAUUUCAUAUAACGGAACACAAUACAGUAGUUUAAAUACUACUCUUGCACAGAAAAGGGGAAAGAAUAGAUUGAGUCUUGAAGCUAGGUGAUGGAUUCACAUUAAAAAAGAAUGAUAAUGUAUUAACGUGAGUAAAUGUAAAAAGCAUAAUGAACAAGAAAAACUUUCAAAAGGAUUUGUAGAAUUUGAUGCCUUUUACAUAACCUUUAAUUCUCUGUAAAGAAAAAAAAAAGCUAUUGACUCUGCUUUCCCCCCCCCCCUUCCCCCUUCACCCUUCCCCCCCCCCCUCCAUUCCCCCCCCCUACUGUCCCCUCCCCCAAUUAUCCUUCCCCUUCCCUCCUGGUCUCCCAGGACCCAAUCCUAGCCCAACGUGUCUUGGCCUGCAACUUCCCGGAAGCCGUUGGCGCAGCUCCCAGCCCACAUGGGCCCCCUCAGGCUGCCCACGCCUGUCCGCCAGCUCCCCGCCUGUCCGCCAGCUCCCCGCCUGUCCGCCAGCUCCCGGUUCCGCUGGGCUUUCCAAAACCUCACCAGGGGUGACUUUCUGAGCCGCUUGCUCCGUGCCCCUCUCUGCAGCCUCUCCUGCCACUCAGGGCCGCUGUUCCCCCUCCCGGCGAUAGGGAGCUGAGGGAGCUGUGCCACGGGGGCCCCCGGGGCCGGUGGUGCCCGCAGUGCCAGGGUCAUCAGGAUGAUGCGGACGUGGUGUCUGCUGGGGCUGCGCACGUUCCUGGCCUUCGCCAACAAACUCUGGCAGAUCUGCACGGUAAUUCAGCAUCAAACUGUUAGAUAUGAUAUCCUCCCCUUAUCUUCUUGUCCCGGAAUCAGUUAGGUGAAGAGGAAUAUCCUCGUGCUGGAUCCGGAUGAGACGCUUAUUCACUCUCACCGUGAUGGGGUCCUGAGGCUCACAGUCCGGCGUGCAGCGCCUCCUGACUUCAUCCUCAAGGUGGUAAUAGACAAACAUCCUGUGCGUUUUUUUGUACAUUAAAGGCCCCAUGUGGAUUUCUUCUUGGAAGUGGUGAGCCAGUGGUGGGAGCUGGUGGUCUUUAUAGCAAGCAUGGAGAUCUAUGGCUCUGUUGUGGCAGAUUUACUGGACAAUUAGCAGAAGCAUUCUUAAGAGGAGAUACUACAGACAGCACUGCACUUUGGAGUUGGGCAGCUACAUCAAGCACCUCUCUGUGGUCCACAGUGACCUCUCCAGCAUUGUGAUCCUGGAUAACUCCCCAGCGGCUUACAGGAGCCAUCCAGACAAGGCCAUCACCAUCAAAUCCUGGUUCAGUGACCCCAGUGACACAACCCUUCUCAAACUGCUCCCAAUGCUGGAUGCCCUCAGGUUCACCGUUGAUGUUCGUUUGGUGCUGAGCCACAACCUUCACCAGUAUAGGCUCUGGUGACAGCUGCUCCCCCUUCACCAGAGUUAGAGUUGGGGGGAAAGGGAGGGCGAGCCCUUGGGAUGCUGUUUGAUGCCCUAUCCAAUGUGAGGACUGCCUGGGCAGGGUUUGCCCCUCCUACCCCUCUCUGCCCUGGAAGCCCUACACUCCACUCGGAGUCUGGAUGGACGCAUGGGCCUGGGGCCCUGAAGCAGCCUCACUCUAACUUUGUGUUCACACUCCAUAUGUAAAUGGAGUUCAGGCUGGGAGACAGGCAGAGGCCUAGGAGAACUAAAACAGUGUUUGUGGUGGAGAGGCAGGACUGGCCAGAGCCACAGACAGACGGUGAUCCAGGAGGCUCAAAGAGAAGCCAAGUCAACUUUGUUAUGAUUUGAUUUUUUUUCUAAACUCUUGUACAAAACAAUGCUAUUUAUAUACAAGUAAAGUAUUAGGGACAUGUAUGGGGACAGUAAACAAUAAGCUCAUGAUGGAAAUUACCUGUGGGGAGAAAGUAAGGGGAAUGGGGCUGGAGCUGACCAUAUUCAAAAUAAAAUGAUUACUUUAAAAAAUGUAAGUCACAGGAGCAGUUUACUCUUAGUAGAUACUGUAACAUUCAUGCCCAACAGUGAAUUGGUAUGGGUUUCAUAUCAUUAAUGCAAAUGUCUGUGAUCUAAAUUAGUUAAAACUUUCCAGAGGGUUAAAGUACUGCUGAGUUAAAGUACUGUUCUCUUUUGUGAACCCCAGUGGGCUUACCAUAGUACCUAGUAUGCCGUGACCACUCAAAAAAUAUAUGGUGACUAGAGAUUACACGUAAAUAAAUGAUUCUGAGUCUUUUCAUAUAAACCAAAACAAGUUUAAUGUAAUGAUUUAGAUGCAAUUA